rnacentral:rRNA from 1 species
AGGGUGAGUAAUGCAUUGAUAACCUACCUUUGAGACGGGGAUAACAACGUUCCGCAAGGGACUCCCGAAAGGGUUGCUAAUACCCGAUAAAACUCAUGGUGCUUCGGUAUCGGGAGUCAAAGGUUUGGGGCUGAAAGGUUCCAUAUGCUCAGAGAGGGGUCAAUGUCCUAUCAGCUAGUUGGCAGGGUAAAGGCCUACCAAGGCGAAGACGGGUAGCCGGCCUGAGAGGGUGGUCGGCCACAUUGGGACUGAGACACUGCCCAGACUCCUACGGGAGGCUGCAGUCGAGAAUCUUUCGCAAUGCCCGGAAGGGUGACGAAGCGACGCCGCGUGUGGGAAGAAGGCCUUCGGGUUGUAAACCACUGUCGGGAGUUAAGAAGUGUAAGGGGGUGAAUAGCCCUCUUACUUGACGUUAGCUCCGGAGGAAGCCACGGCUAACUCUGUGCCAGCAGCCGCGGUAAUACAGAGGUGGCAAGCGUUGUUCGGAAUUAUUGGGCGUAAAGAGCACGUAGGCGGCCCUACAAGUCAGCUGUGAAAUCCUUCUGCUCAACGGAAGAACGGCAGUUGAUACUAUAGGGCUGGAGUGCGGGAGGGGAGAGUGGAACUUCUGGUGGAGCGGUGAAAUGCGUAGAUAUCAGAAGGAACAUCGGCGGCGAAAGCGACUCUCUGGCCCGUAACUGACGCUGAGGUGCGAAAGCUA